CUGGGAGACCCGGCAUUGAGAUGAACGAGGAGACAGUGAACGCUGCACUGGCAGACCGCUGGUGUUUAAAAGCUUCCAACAGGCUUUGUCCAAACACAGAAAACUUUAUUUAACAUGCAGCUCCACGACUCAAACACUGCACCGAAUGAAUGAAGCUAAUGACAUCAUCGCACCUUGGAAACAGAAAAUAUCACCGUUACAUUACAUUUCAGGGUCAAAUGUAUAAUUCCUUUGGUAUAACUCAAACAGAUGCUAGAGCCACAUUUGUUUAUAUCAUAUAUUACUCUAUUUUUGGGGUUAUUUGUACUCCAGCAGCCAGACAGAGAAUUAAUGUUCUUACUGGACAGCAGAACCAAACAGGACACAGUCGGGUUCACAGUAAAACAUCAAUUAAUCUGUUAAUCGCAUCACUUAAAACAUUCAGUUUAACGUGAAGAUUUAUUCAGUAAAAUCGUGGCAGACUGGCCCUUUAAAGCCUCUGUUUUGCCUGUCAUUGCAACCCAGUCGGCCAUGUUUUCCUGAUCUGUCACAGUGCUGUGUCCAGGUUCUUGUGGUUCGUGAGGCGUUCACUGACCCACCACCACCGCUGCUGCUGCUGCACGUGAAGCAUGCCGCUCUGUUGACAUCUUCAGCCAAUCACAGGAGGAGGAGGCUGAAGAGGCCUGUGAUUGGCCGGAAGCAGGAGUAGGGUGAGCUCAUGAUGCUGCUGUCAGCUGACAACCCAACAGUCCUCAGUGACCCCCAACAUUGUUCACCAGCCGGGCUGAACCUGCCGCUGCAGCUGACGGGCACAGCAGGCAGCUGUUACCAUGGAGACGGGUGCCAUGAUGUGCCAUGGCCUUCUGCCUGCAGCAAGACAAGUCACUUUUAUUUAGAUUACUUAUAGUGCCCAACCCCACCAACCAUGAACUUACCCACUCAGCCUCAAAUCACAUGAAGUCGACAGAAUGACCCUUUAAAUUUAAACCUGAAUGAAAUGUCUGGACCAGAAGAGAGGCAAACACACCCACACAAUCAGUGGACAGUAUGGACCUUAAGGGUGACAAAAUCUCAGACUGAAAGGUGAGGUAACCCUGAUCCACCAAACAGACCUGAUUCUCCACUGAGGCCUGGGCAGAGAUCAGACCACCACACAGAAGGAAACAGAACCGAGGCUUUGUGGAACAAACAGUAGCAUCCAUCAGCAGCACAAACACCAACACUCAGCGUCUUCACAUGGACCUGAUCAGGUUUUAAAGUAUCCCGACUGUGUUUGUGCAUGCGAAACAUCAGGUGGAUUUCAGAGGGCUGGAAAGAUGAAUGAAGUCACAAACAGACAAUCCCACCUCUGGUGUGACGGAGCUAAAGAGGAGUUAAAUAGAGAGAGAGUGGUAGAGCGAGCUUUACUCUCUCACUAACAAAGACUUCACUGUUUCAUUCAUGCACUCUCAUUUCAUAUGCAAAUGAGCAGGCUGAGAGGGGCGGAGUCUGUGUCACUAUUUGUAAUCCGGAUCAGUUUAGUCUGUCUGCUGGAGAUCUAGAUCCAGAUCUGUGUCCGUCUCUGACCUCUGGCAUCAUCACCUCCAGUGUGUCUACAGUCAGGAUUUCAGAGAGACUUAGGACACGAGUCAGAUCUCCAUCCAAGAGGUACUCACAUCCUUUACUUCAGUUAACCCUCGUGUCGUCCUGCAGGUCAAAAUUGACCUGGUUUAAAGGUUGAAAAUGUGAAAAAAAAAAAUUUUCACAGUGAAACUUCCGAUGUCCACAUUUUCAACAUUUUUGGGAAACCUUUGAACAUUUUUUGGUGGAAAAAAGAAAAGUUAAAAAAGUUUAAGAAUAGUCACAAAAAAUCUACCAAAAUCUAGUGAAUUUCCCUGAAUUUUGGUUGAUUUUUAUAUGAACGUUCUUAAUGAAAAAUAUUAGAAGUUUUACUGUUAUAUAUGUAAUCAUUUUUACUUUACUUUUACUCAUUUUUAAAAAAAUAUUUACAAGAAUUUUCUUGCCAAAUUUCGGGGAUUUUUUUUUAAAAUAAAACUUUUAAGGGAAAAUUUUAAGGAAUGAUUGAAAUUUUCUUCCAGAAGGAAUUUUCAGAAAUUUGGGGAUUUUUUUUGCUGAAUUUUUAAAAAAAAAAAUUUCAGACAAGGUAACAAUAUUUUUUGGUGCCUGUAAAUGAGGACAACAGGAGGGUUAAAGCAGCAAACAGUGUCAGAAAUACUCAGUUGCAGGUUAAAGUCCUGCAUUCAAAAUUCUACUAAAGCAAAGUAUUCUUGGAGAAACAUGCUUUAGUAUCAGCAGUAAAUAUGUAAAAUUGUUCUGCAGUAGAAUCUUUUGGUCACUCAUCACAUGUCAAGAUGACUGGAAACCACUGAUUUCAUCUUUAAAAAUGUGCAUUUAAUGAAUUUAGCGAGUGUUUUAACGUAAAAUGUUAAAAUCUUAAUGAGUAUCAAAUAAAGACUUUUUGUUCCACUA